rnacentral:lncRNA from 1 species
AUUUGCAUGUUUAGCGAAUCUGAAUGUUGGAGCUUAAAUGUUAGUUAAAUAUACAUGCUGGACUUGAAAAUUGACUUAGAAGAAAACUGGCGUUUCUACACUGUCACAUGUUAAAACUACCAUAUUUAGCUCUAGGAGCCGUAGUUGUUUUGUAUCACUGCAGUAUGAGAGCAGUGGAUAGUCAGGAUAGUGUAGAUUGUAUUUACGCUCGUACUGAGAUGCCGAGCUUAUUUUUAAGUAGUGUUUAGACUAUUCCGGACUGUCGGGUGCUGUUGAGGUUAACGGUGACCCAGAUUGCUGUUU